CCUGGCGGNNNUAGCGCGGUGGUCCCACCUGACCCCAUGCCGAACUCAGAAGUGAAACGCCGUAGCGCCGAUGGUAGUGUGGGGUCUCCCCAUGCGAGAGUAGGGAACUGCCAGGC
rnacentral:rRNA from 1 species